GAAAUUCCUUCCUGUGGUUCUCGGUUUGUGAUUUGCAUGCAUCCCAGAAAACAGGAAGGGCACCUGAAGUGAACUCCCGUCUUAUAAACAAACUUUCACCAGUGACUGCAACCUUCCUGAGAAAUGACUGUAGCACUCACCUCACUUUGACAGCGCACUGUAUGGAUUCCCUGAGCUCUGAGGGAAGGGAUUUGAUGGAAACAUCCUAUUUAGACUUUCAUCACAUAAUGUCUGUUAUGGGUCUUUGCAUUUGUUUGCAUCUGCCACCAGAGGAAUCUUCUCUGGUGAUGACUAAAAAAGGUUCUGACUAAACUGGAGGAAAACAAAUGGAAUUUCUGCACUAGGAGCUACCAUGAGUAAGACUGAAAGUGAAGAAUAACCAUAGAUUUGGCAAUAAUAAUGACAAUGAUGAUGGUGGUGAUGAUGAUAAUUCGUGAUCUCAUAUUUUCUGAGACCAAUGCUAAGCAAUUGACCAGUUUUCUAUAGUGAGUUACAUAAAGCUGCAAGAACAGAUGUUUGUGAGGACUUCGUUAUAGUAAACUGACAUCUACAUGCAUUAGAAAGAAGACUAAAAUCAAAGCAAAUGGUGAGAUCUAAAAUGCAGCCAGUGAAAGUCAAAAACACCCUGGAGAAAAUCAACAUUGUCCUUCUAGUUGACUCUCCUUGUAUCAAUGUGACACCAAAAAUUUGUAAAUGAGUAGUUUCAAUGUAU